AGAAGGAAAAGAAGAACACAAAGUGUCUCAGAAAACAACAACAGAGACUUCAGAAACCAAGUUACAAAGGAAAAAGGGGAAGAAAACUAAGCUGAAGGCAGACUAGAGGAGUGCGAUGCAGAUGGACUGAUGAGAAGAUUCAUUUGCAGUCUGAUUUAUUGCCAACCUUUACAUUUCUGCUUUGUAAUAUGAGAGUAUAAAAUAAACUUUUAUAUGUGUAUAAACUU